rnacentral:lncRNA from 1 species
AAAAAAAUUAACUGACCUAAUUAUGUUUAAAGAUGGUUGUCGACACAAAAUUGACCAAGGAUAAACCACAACAAAGCAGUUCAAAUUUCCAGUCUUAAGUAAUAUGUCUACGUCGAUAUGGGCUUGUCUUGGUUAACAUGUCCAUUAAUGAAAAAAGAAGAGAAAAGAAAGCGAACUUUGAUUUUCGACAGUGAAUAACGAAUAGACACAAUAGACUGUGAAUAGUCUUCAUCCUGUUGAAAGCCCAUCUAAACAAAGCUCUACAUCCAGAACAAUUAUAAAGAUGGUUUCUAUCAUAAUAUGAAUUAUAAAGUACUUACCUUGAAAUCUUACACCAUUUCUGCGCACCACAACUCUCCUGAAUUCGGCUCCAACAACUUGAUCACCAUAAACAACUCCUCUGGCAUCGGU